GACUUUUUGGUUUCGUACGAUUUGAUACAUCGCCACCGCCUACUCGUAGCGUGUGUGGAAAAGUGGUUAGAAUUCGUACGACGACGACGACGACGAGAACAACAUAGUUCACGUAACGUUACAUUUAUUACUCGGAAUCUAUUUCAGUUGACGUAAAAGGUUUAGCAGCCGUUUUCUUGUUCUCUCCUCGUCUCAAAAUCCCAACAGGACCACAACUCCUCAUCUUCUUCUUGAUUAUGUGUAUGUACACGACUAAGAUUAGCAGCAGCAGGGUGGUUAGUUAGAAUAAAGCAGAAUAUGACAACACACACGGCUUGUUUGCCAUUGCAUUCCACGACGGACUAAAAAAGAAAACACUAAUAAAGAUGAACAGCAUGUUGGCGAGUGGGUGCAGUGCAGGGGGACAUGUAGCUGAGUCAGUUUGGGUCAUAUUUCAUAUCCUCAUCGUCGCAGAGUCGGUCAUCCUCUCUGAUUUAUUCUAAAUAGCAAUCUAAAUAUUUACAGGAGGCAUAUUUAAUAAAUCUGCUCUACGUCCUCGUCUCAUCUGCAUGUGUGCAAACUUAUUGCGUGCGAAGUGAGGUGGGGUGAGAUUUGUGCUACAACUGUAAAAUAAUUGUAGGGACUGGCUUGGCUUGGAGUAGAAGAACAGAUACGUGCAACACUACAACUGCGUGAUUGAGUUGUUGAAGAUUCUCGUUAUAAAAAUAUCAUUGGAUUAAAUUGACGAAAUAUUACUUCCUCAGGACAAGAAAAAAAGAUCUCCUCAAAAUGAGAAAUCUGCUUCUUUUCGCCACCACCAUUCUUCUGGUCAUCUCCUCCUCUCGAGCUGAGGGUGAACUGAAUCACGGUGACCAUUGCGAUCCAUCUCCCUCACAGACGGACACUGCCCAGAAAUGUGACACUUCUCGACGUCUCUCUUGCGACGUGAAUACCCAUCGGUGCCGUUGUCACCACGCGGACCGCGACUUUUUCGAUAAUGACAGCGGACGGUGUGAGACAAAAGUUGGGAAAUUCUGCGCCCCUGACGCCACCUUCCCAGUGAUUUGUGUCAAUCAAGCCGUUUGCAAUAGCACCACAAAAUUCUGCGAAUGUCCGGGCGGAUUUGAGACGAAUGACGAAGGAAGCGAAUGCAGUGGGGGGAAUGAAUCGUCCUCCAGUGUUUUCUUAUCAUCGUUGGCCAUGUUUCUCCUCCUCGCGUCGGUAUUCGUUUGCACGUAGCGUUCUAGAGUGUCGAGCCGUAUUUUUAGGUGUUGUAUAUUUAUAAAAAUAUUUGUCGCAUUUUUUUCGUAUAUGUUUGUACCUCGUAUCGUCAUACCAGGGGUUCUUUUCGCUGAUAAAGUUGUGUUGUUCAAAGUUUUUAGCAAAGUUAGUUUUCCUGUCGAGUGUUGCAAAAAGUUUGUGCAAAAAAACCCUGCCUGCCAUACAUAUGGACCUCGUUAUUUAGGUGGAAUAAUUGUGUGUGUUUCUGGUCAAAUGUGCAAUAGAUACAUUGAUAUUGACACCCUGACUUUAUCCCGGAGAAUAAUUGUGCAAGAUGUGAAUAUUUGUAGCAGAUUGUUUUUUUUAUUAUAGAUAAUUAAGGUAACAAUACUGUCCAACAAACAAGAUUUUCAAGUAAAUUAAUUACAUGAAGGUGUGUUGUGUUGUUUUCAAAGAGGAAAAUAAGAUUAAUAUUUCACACAUAUUGACAUGCAGAAAUCAUGGAAAAGUCAUAGUAGAAAUAGAAGGAGACAUAAGUAAAUAGGAGAAAAAAAUAAAAGUGCACUUUGUUAUCCAA